rnacentral:rRNA from 2 species
CGCCCUUUUCCGGUUGAUCCUGCCGGACCCGACUGCUAUCGGAUUGAGAUUUAGCCAUGCGAGUCGAACGUCCCCCUGUUGCGGGGGGCGUGGCGUACGGCUCAGUAACACGUAGUCAACCUGCCCUCGAGACGUGGACAACCCCGGGAAACUGGGAUCAAUUCCACGAUAGGUCACCUCAUCUGGAAGGAGAGGUGGCUCAAAGGGGUGCGCGAGCUUCUUUCGUGCAUCUGCUCGAGGAUGGGACUGCGACCGAUCAGGCUGUUGGCGGGGUAAUGGCCCACCAAACCUGUAACCGGUACGGGCCUUGAGAGAGGGGGCCCGGAGAUGGACACUGAGAGAAGGGUCCAGGUCCUACGGGGCGCAGCAGGCGCGAAACCUUCGCAAUGCGCGAAAGCGUGACGAGGUUAAUCCGAGUGAUCCCCGCUGAGGGGAUCUUUUGUCGGCUGUAAAAAGGCCGGUGAAUAAGGGGAGGGCAAGUCUGGUGUCAGCCGCCGCGGUAAUACCAGCUCCUCGAGUGGUCGGGGCGAUUAUUGGGCCUAAAGCAUCCGUAGCCUGUUCUGUAGGUCCUCUGUUAAAUCCAACGGCUUAACCGUUGGCAGGCAGAGGAUACCGCAGGACUAGGAGGCGGGAGAGGUGGGCGGUACUCCACGUGUAGGGGUAAAAUCCUUUGAUCCGUGGAAGACCACCAGUGGCGAAGGCGGCCCACCAGAACGCGCUCGACGGUGAGGGAUGAAAGCUGGGGGAGCGAACCGGAUUAGAUACCCGGGUAGUCCCAGCCGUAAACGAUGCGAGCUAGAUGAUCCAGUCGCAAAUCGCGACUGGAGUGUCGCAGGGAAGCCGUUAAGCUCGCCGCCUGGGGAGUACGGUCGCAAGACUGAAACUUAAAGGAAUUGGCGGGGGAGCACCACAAGGGGUGAAGCCUGCGGUUCAAUUGGAGUCAACGCCAGGAAACUUACCAGGAGAGACAGCAGGUUGAGGGUCAAGCUGAAGACUUUACCUGACGAGCUGAGAGGAGGUGCAUGGCCGUCGCCAGCUCGUGCCGUGAGGCGUCCUGUUAAGUCAGGCAACGAGCGAGACCCAAAGGGCGAA